GGGGCCAUAGCUCAGUGGUAGAGCAUCUGCUUAGCAUGCAGAAGGUCCCAGAUUCAAUCCCUGGCGUCUCCA